UACGUAGGGACCAAGCGUUGUCCGGAAUCAUUGGGCGUAAAGAGCGUGUAGGCGGCAUGUUAAGUCUUGCGUGAAAUCUCGGGGCUCAACCCCGAGCGGUCGUGAGAAACUGGCAGGCUAGAGUGCGGGAGAGGAGAGUGGAAUUCCUGGUGUAGCGGUGAAAUGCGCAGAUAUCAGGAAGAACACCCGUGGCGAAGGCGGCUCUCUGGAACGCAACUGACGCUGAGACGCGAAAGCGUGGGGAGCAAACAGG
rnacentral:rRNA from 1 species